AUACGAAGGGUGCAAGCGUUACUCGGAAUUACUGGGCGUAAAGCGUGCGUAGGUGGUUCGUUAAGUCCGAUGUGAAAGCCCUGGGCUCAACCUGGGAAUGGCAUUGGAUACUGGCGGGCUAGAGUGCGGUAGAGGGUAGUGGAAUUCCCGGUGUAGCAGUGAAAUGCGUAGAGAUCGGGAGGAACAUCCGUGGCGAAGGCGACUACCUGGACCAGCACUGACACUGAGGCACGAAAGCGUGGGGAGC
rnacentral:rRNA from 1 species